CCUACGGGGGGCUGCAGUGGGGAAUAUUGGGCAAUGGGCGAAAGCCUGACCCAGCAACGCCGCGUGAAGGAAGAAGGCCCUCGGGUUGUAAACUUCUUUUAUCAGGGACGAAACAAAUGACGGUACCUGAUGAAUAAGCCACGGCUAACUACGUGCCAGCAGCCGCGGUAAUACGUAGGUGGCAAGCGUUAUCCGGAUUUACUGGGUGUAAAGGGCGUGUAGGCGGGACUGCAAGUCAGAUGUGAAAACUAUGGGCUCAACCCAUAGCUUGCAUUUGAAACUGUGGUUCUUGAGUGAUGGAGAGGCAGGCGGAAUUCCGUGUGUAGCGGUGAAAUGCGUAGAUAUAUGGAGGAACACCAGUGGCGAAGGCGGCCUGCUGGACAUUAACUGACGCUGAGGCGCGAAAGCGUGGGGAGCAAACAGGAUUAGAUACCCCUGUAGUC
rnacentral:rRNA from 1 species